GGUUGUAGCUGGCCUUCCGAGGCAUGUGCACGCCCUGCUCAUCCACUCUACACCUGUGCACUUACUGUAGGUCUGCGUGGGUUUCUAGCCUCCGGGUUGGGAGCAUUCUGCAGGCUUAUGUAUACUAUAAACACUUUAAAGUAACAGAAUGUAAACGCGUCUAACGCAUUUUAAUACAACUUUCAGCAACGGAUCUCUUGGCUCUCGCAUCGAUGAAGAACGCAGCGAAAUGCGAUAAGUAAUGUGAAUUGCAGAAUUCAGUGAAUCAUCGAAUCUUUGAACGCACCUUGCGCUCCUUGGUAUUCCGAGGAGCAUGCCUGUUUGAGUGUCAUGAAAUUCUCAACCCAUAAAUCCUUGUGGAAGUAUGGGCUUGGAUUUGGAGGUUUGCUGGGUCCCCUGGGGUCCGGCUCCUCUCGAACGCAUUAGCUUGAUUCCGUGCGGAUCGGCUCUCAGUGUGAUAAUUAUCUACGCUGUGACCGUGAAGCGUUUGGCGAGCUUCCAACCGUCUUUUUUGGACAACCUUAUGACAUCUGACCUCAAAUCAGGUAGGACUACCCGCUGAACUUAAGCAUAUCAAUAAGCGGAGGAAAAGAAACUAACAAGGAUUCCCCUAGUAACUGCGAGUGAAGCGGGAAAAGCUCAAAUUUAAAAUCUGGCGGUCUUUGGCCGUCCGAGUUGUAGUCUGGAGAAGUGCUUUCCGCGCUGGACCGUGUACAAGUCUCUUGGAACAGAGCGUCAUAGAGGGUGAGAAUCCCGUCUUUGACAUGGACUACCAGUGCUUUGUGAUGCGCUCUCAAAGAGU
rnacentral:rRNA from 1 species